CAUGUGUUUGUUUAGUUACUAGUACUACUUCAUUUUAGAAGGAAAUAUACAUGGUGUCGUUUAUUGUAAGAACAAUUAUGCAACCAAUCAUUAAAAUAAAACGCAUCAGAGUAAGCAUCAGAUUGGAUGUAGAAGAAACAUAUGAAAAGAAAUCCCAAGAAGAAAAACUGCCUUCAAAAGUGUAAGAAGAGGCGUUAGAGUUCGUAGGAAUAGGAAGAAUACAAGUUCUUUCAAAAAUGGCUGAAUGUACACACACAUUCUUCUGACACAUCAAAAAAAGUUAAACCAUCGACAUUAUAGUCUUAUUCUUCGAUGCUAAAUUGUACCUGGUGACCAAAAACUGCAAGAUAUCAAACAAACUUAUUACGUUACUGAAAAAAUUGCACGGUAAACCCAAAAUCUUUGAACCGGAUGAUAUCCUUAAAUUUUAAAACAAACUUCAACUGACAAUUAUUGUUAAGGUUGCUGCUACAAUUAGUGUGUAUGAAGCGUGCCGGUCAGACAAAUUGCACGCUUUGAAUAUCAAAAAUCGGUCAUGGUCAUUUACUUAUUGACACCAAAACCAAAAAAGAUGGGUCGUUUUGCAUUACCGACAAGGAAUGUGAAAUGAGUGAAACUUGUCACAAAAUACCUACGUAGGCUUGCGCCCUAAGAACGUCCUUUUCAAGAGGUCCUUCAUCAGUGAUCAACAAAAAAGGUUUUCCAUCCAAGCUGUAGAAAUAGAUAUAUAAAGGUUGUUAAGAAGAUUGCCGAUUUCCUGAAGUUGCCAAAUCCAGAAAUAUUUGCCGCUAUUCUGCAAGUACGAUGUUACCAAACUCUGCUUCUGAUCUGGUAGCACACAACUCUUUAUGUUGUGCAGAUACAUGACAUCGAAACAAAUACAAGUUGUGGUUCUGUCAUAAGAGUAGACGUUUUUAGCAAUGAGAUAUAGAAGACAUCGAUAAUGACAGAUCUCAUCUACGUUUGUUUGCUUGUUUUAAGUUAUAAGGAUAAAUAUGUACUUUCCACUAAUAGGGAACCAUUGAAAUAUGCUGUACUGAUGAGACCUAAGGAGGUGGAAACUGCAAUCAACAGAUGUUCAGUGUGUUGUCUAUGAACUUUAGCAAUAUGUAUUAAUUUCCAGUGUAUUUAACUUAAAUAAAAAAUAGGCCAUU